rnacentral:rRNA from 1 species
CAAGACAAGUCUCUCUAAGAAACUCAACAAAAUAGCCCCACAACUUCAGGAGAAUGAGCGCCUCCUCACAAAAGGGUAACAGUGACCAGGGACUAGCAACUGUUUACCAAAAACACAAGUCUCCACAAAGUCGUACAACCAUGUAUGGGAGCUGAUGUCUGUCCAAUGUUGAAAGGUCAAGGAAGUUGGUAACCUGAUGAUGGGGAGCAGGCGACCGAAACCCCAAUGAACAGCGACCGUAACAAUAAUAAUCCUAAGGUAGCGAAAUUCGUUAUUGGAUAAGUUUCGACCCGCACGAAAGGCAUAACAAGCUGGGCAUUGUUUCAAAGAGAAGCUUGAUGAAAUAGACAUGUCUGUGAAAAUGCAGAC